CAAUAGCAUAUAUUAAAGUUGUUGCAGUUAAAAAGCUCGUAGUUGGAUUUUAGAGUAUAUUGGUAUAGUCCGCCUGAAUGGGUGUGUAUUGUAUUAAUAGCUCUCCUUACUAGAAAUUCAUAAUUGCACUUUAUUGGGUAGUUAUUUUCAUCCAGAAAUGGGUGGAGUGUUUUGCGGGUGACUGGGGUAGGAUUGUGGUAUUUUUACGGGGCGACCUGUGGAGAUAUCUGCCUAGCUUGGUUCCGUGAAAUAGAAUUCUAGUUCAUUUACUUUGAGUAAAUUAGAGUGUUCAAAGCAAACAAGAAUGUAAUGAAUACUAUUAGCAUGGGAUAAUGGAACAGGACGUUGGUUCUAUUUUAUUGGUUUCUAGAACUAAUGUAAUGAUUAAAAGGGAUAGUUGGGGGCAUUAGUAUUUAAUUGUCAGAGGUGAAAUUCUUGGAUUUAUGAAAGACUAACUUCUGCGAAAGCAUUUGUCAAAGAUGUUUUCAUUAA
rnacentral:rRNA from 1 species